CCGAGUGUGGGCCCCCUCGCGGGUCCAACCUCCCACCCUUUGCCUGUAAUACACCCUGUUGCUUCGGCGGGCCCACUGGGGAUACCCGGUCGCCGGGGGGCUUUGCGCCCCCGGGCCCGCGCCCGCCGAAGCGCCCUGUGAACCCUGCAGAAGAUAGGCUGUCUGAGUCACAUGAAAAUUGUCA
rnacentral:misc_RNA from 1 species